CCUACGGGAGGCAGCAGUGAGGAAUAUUGGACAAUGGGCGCAAGCCUGAUCCAGCCAUGCCGCGUGCAGGAAGAAGCAUCUAUGGUGUGUAAACUGCUUUUGUACAGGAAGAAACACUCCCUCGUGAGGGAGCUUGACGGUACUGUAAGAAUAAGGACCGGCUAACUCCGUGCCAGCAGCCGCGGUAAUACGGAGGGUCCGAGCGUUAUCCGGAAUCAUUGGGUUUAAAGGGUCCGUAGGCGGUUUAAUAAGUCAGUGGUGAAAUCUGGUCGCUCAACGAUCAAACGGCCAUUGAUACUGUUAGACUUGAAUUAUAAGGAAGUAACUAGAAUAUGUAGUGUAGCGGUGAAAUGCUUAGAUAUUACAUGGAAUACCAAUUGCGAAGGCAGGUUACUACUUAUGGAUUGACGCUGAUGGACGAAAGCGUGGGGAGCGAACAGGAUUAGAUACCCUGGUAGUCCACGCCGUAAACGAUGGAUACUAGCUGUUCGGAGCAAUCUGAGUGGCUAAGCGAAAGUGAUAAGUAUCCCACCUGGGGAGUACGUUCGCAAGAAUGAAACUCAAAAGUAGAAGUUACGGACGGNGAGAGAGACGACGACGACGACGAGGAGGGAGGAGG
rnacentral:rRNA from 1 species